rnacentral:lncRNA from 1 species
ACCCAGGCCUGCCCAAACUGGUCUUUCUCAUUGCAGGGUGUGGGAGAACAUAGGGCUUUGUGGGUCCCUGGGGACCUGCCAGGCCCAAGGCUGUUGCUCAGCUGUGGGAGGCACGCCAGUUCUCAGGUCUGCUAAUGAGUGGUGUGGUGUCUGGCAAGGAACUUGCCUGGAGUGAGUGUGACUAACCAUGAAUCUUUUCAAUAAUGCUGACAAUUCAUUCUCUUUUCUCUCCUUUACCCGCUCUCUUUGCUGGAGCUGGCUGAAAUAGGAGCAAAUUAGUCUCAUUCUGGAAAAGGCAGGGCAUGAUAAAGGACCCCCUAAAAGGUUUCCAGAGCUCCGUGCCUGAAUGUUUUGCAGUCCGUGUAAUUAUCUGACUUGGGUGAGUCGACAGGGUAUUUUUUUUGUUGUUAUUUUCUACACUCAAUAGCAGGUGGCAUCUGAAGAAGUGCCUUGUUACUGUUCCACUGGACUAUUGAACAAAUUUACAUUUGACACCAGCAAAGGUAGUGUCAUUAUUAUUCUAUGUGUGUUCCAACCCGAACUGAUGACCCUCCAUUUCCUGUUCAAAGGCUAUGUUUCUUUCAAGGGAAAGAUAAUGUUUCCACCCCUACAUGGAAAUGUGGUAGACCUUAAAUGCCCUGGACUUCUAACCGGGGGUGGGAGCUGAAGAGGGAAUGAACCUUUCCUCUUCUCCCUGCUGCCACCCGUUUUGUUGUUUGAUUAAGUGUUCUCUGAGUGUCUAACACCUGAGCUGAACCUUGCAUUCUCUCACUGGGAAGUAUGGGACAGAAGCCAAGAUGUAGGCCAGGAGAACUGCAUGUAUCACUGAUUUGACCGGAACAAGAGCUUAGUGAGGUAGAACCCAUUGUGUCCGGACUUGGUUUCUUCAGAUGUGUCCGGAGUUUCUUCUUGGCCUCACCGACUUCAAGAAUGAAGCCACGGACCUCGCGGUGAGUGUUACAACUCUUUAAAAGGUGUUUGCCCCUCCCUGUGGGUUCGUGGUCUUGCUGACUUCGGGAAUGAAGCCCCAGACUCUCGCAGUGAGUGUUACAGCUUUUAAAGUUGAUGCGGACCCAAAGAGUGAGCAGC